rnacentral:rRNA from 1 species
GACGAACGCUGGCGGCGCGCCUAACACAUGCAAGUCGAACGAGCGAGAGAGAGCUUGCUUUCUUGAGCGAGUGGCGAACGGGUGAGUAACGCGUGAGGAACCUGCCUCAAAGAGGGGGACAACAGUUGGAAACGACUGCUAAUACCGCAUAAGCCCACGGUGCCGCCUGGCACAGAGGGAAAAGGAGCAAUCCGCUUUGAGAUGGCCUCGCGUCCGAUUAGCUAGUUGGUGAGGUAACGGCCCACCAAGGCGACGAUCGGUAGCCGGACUGCGAGGUUGAGCGGCCACAUUGGGACUGAGACACGGCCCAGACUACUACGGGAAGCAGCAGUAGGGAAUAUUGCACGAUGGGGGAAACCCUGAUGCAGCGACGCCGCGUGGAGGAAGAAGGUCUUCGGAUUGUAAAUUCCUGUUGUUCGCGAAGAUAAUGACGGUACCCAACAAGGAAGUUACGGCUAACUACGUG